AGCCGAAGUUUGCAAGGGGCUGACCCUUCCAGGGUUCUUCCGGCUUCCGACCUUGUCUGGCAUCUUUCUGAACUCCCUCGAUCGGUCGAGCUUCCAUAUUACCAUCCGAACUUCUCUGAUAAUAAGCUCCUCCAUUCACGUAUCGGGCUGCUCCAAAUGCUCUUUGGGCUUCAAUAUCAGUUGAUUUUCUGCAGUGAUCGACUAUUCUCCAAAUCUCUUCCAGACUUCUUCCAGCCAC
rnacentral:lncRNA from 1 species